UUUACUUGCUUUGUGUGCUAGAUUACCAACUAGUAUCUCACUACUCUCCAACAUUAUUUCCGUUUCAGUAGAAUUAUCGAUUGAUAUCAAAGUUUUAUUUAAAUAUGGUAAAACAAGUCUUAGUUUAUAUCAUCAAGCUAAUCACGUUCAUCCUAUAAAGCUACCUAGCAACUACAUUAAUAUGUUGUAGCCUACCGACUCACUGCAAUUUCACAAAGUUGAAGAAUGCAGUAAAGAGUACUAAGAUGACUACAUGCCAAAAGAGGCAAUAGUCUUCGCACAAUCAUUGGCACUUGCAAACGUGGAAAUUUCUUUUGCAAGCAAUUUGACUUGUGUGCGUUGGGUAGGCUAUAAACUAAGGAAAAUGCAACCUUUAUUAUUUCCAUCCGGUACUACGAAGCAGUCACAUUAACCUAACCUGAAGCGAAUGAACAGAAUAAGAAAAUUCUGAUAAUCUAACAGUCGUUAUGGGAUUAGUUACUAGAAUUAAGCAUUCGAUUUAGCAAACAAGAUCCCAACUAUUCGGAAUCGGCUCUCCUGAAAUCCAAGGUCAUUUUGCUACCAUUAAUUCUCUCGGUAAACCAUUAUGAAUCAGAAAUAACGCUCAUGCUGAUGGACUAUAGAAUAUAGCAGCAAGCAUUGUUCUACAUAAUCGAGGGUUUGUUUUUGUUAAAGAAGCUUAUGUAUUUGACUAGUAGUAGAAAGGAACCUUUUUAUCUCCGUUAAUAAUAAUUAUUAAAGUAAACAAAUACCAUUAAUC